UAGGGAAUCUUCGGCAAUGGGGGGAACCCUGACCGAGCAACGCCGCGUGAGUGAAGAAGGUUUUCGGAUCGUAAAGCUCUGUUGUUAAGGAAGAACGAGUGUGAGAAUGGAAAGUUCAUGCUGUGACGGUACUUAACCAGAAAGGGACGGCUAACUACGUGCCAGCAGCCGCGGUAAUACGUAGGUCCCGAGCGUUGUCCGGAUUUAUUGGGCGUAAAGCGAGCGCAGGCGGUUAGAUAAGUCUGAAGUUAAAGGCAGUGGCUCAACCAUUGUAGGCUUUGGAAACUGUUUAACUUGAGUGCAGAAGGGGAGAGUGGAAUUCCAUGUGUAGCGGUGCAAUGCGUAGAUAUAUGGAGGAACACCGGUGGCGAAAGCGGCUCUCUGGUCUGUAACUGACGCUGAGGCUCGAAAGCGUGGGGAGCGAACAGG
rnacentral:rRNA from 1 species